UAGGGAAUUUUUCACAAUGAGCGAAAGCUUGAUGGAGCAAUGCCGCGUGAACGAUGAAGGUCUUUAAGAUUGUAAAGUUCUUUUAUUUGGGAAGAAUGACUUUAGCAGGUAAUGGCUAGAGUUUGACUGUACCAUUUUGAAUAAGUGACGACUAACUAUGUGCCAGCAGUCGCGGUAAUACAUAGGUCGCAAGCGUUAUCCGGAUUUAUUGGGCGUAAAGCAAGCGCAGGCGGAUUGAAAAGUCUGGUGUUAAAGGCAGCUGCUUAACAGUUGUAUGCAUUGGAAACUAUUAAUCUAGAGUGUGGUAGGGGGUUUUGGAAUUUCAUGUGGAGCGGUGAAAUGCGUAGAUAUAUGAAGGAACACCAGUGGCGAAGGCGAAAACUUAGGCCAUUACUGACGCUUAGGCUUGAAAGUGUGGGGAGCAAAUAGGAUUAGAUACCCUAGUAGUCCACACCGUAACGAUAGAUACUAGCUGUCGGGGCGAUCCCCUCGGUAGUGAAGUUAACACAUUAAGUAUCUCGCCUGGGUAGUACAUUCGCAAGAAU
rnacentral:rRNA from 1 species